UAGCCGGCCUGAGAGGGCGACCGGCCACACUGGGACUGAGACACGGCCCAGACUCCUACGGGAGGCAGCAGUGGGGAAUAUUGCGCAAUGGGCGAAAGCCUGACGCAGCAACGCCGCGUGAGGGAUGAAGGCCUUCGGGUUGUAAACCUCUUUCAGCAGGGAAGAAGCGAAAGUGACGGUACCUGCAGAAGAAGCACCGGCUAACUACGUGCCAGCAGCCGCGGUAAUACGUAGGGUGCAAGCGUUGUCCGGAUUUAUUGGGCGUAAAGAGCUCGUAGGCGGUUAGUCACGUCGGAUGUGAAAAUCCAAGGCUUAACCUUGGACCUGCAUUCGAUACGGGCUGACUAGAGUGUUGUAGGGGAGAUGGGAAUUCCU
rnacentral:rRNA from 1 species